rnacentral:pre_miRNA from 1 species
AGGAGGAACAACCGUAGUGGCAGCAGCCAGCUCUGAAGCCCUGGAUUCAGCUCCCACAGUAACUGUGGAGCUCUCUGUCUACAGAGGCCUUGAUGCUCCCGGGGGCG